CCAGGAAGUGAGGAUCACUGGGGCUUCCCUGAAGGCUGAGGACCGCAGGGAGGUACGGAAUGUUCAUCCUAUGUGGGAUGAACAAAAUAAAAAUGCAGGGCAGGUAGCCUGGGAGCUGCCCUUGCAACCUUUCUGGGCCGUAGCAUGGAGACGUGUAACGUCCAAUUGCAAUCUGUGUUGGUGCCUAACACAUUUUCCAUAGCAGUCUGAGGACAAGUUCAGACCAACAAAGAAGUGAAGGGAAAGCUGCUUUUAUUGUGAAGGAGCUUUGUCCUGAGGAUAAGAAGGACUCCUGUCAUCUAUACUGUAGAGAACCGGUGUCCGGAUGUGCUCUGUGAAAUCUCCAGGAGUUCGUAAAGGAAGCAACGAGCACCAAUCCCAGGCAAACACAGGACCCGAAGAAAGAUGUUUUCUCAUCUGACCAUUUAACACUGAUGCUCUUGCACGCUGUCUCUAAACCUCCAGAUACAUUCCUUUUUAAACGGAGCAGGAACGAAGACUGAACUGGAAAAAAAGUUAUUUGAAUAGUAUUUGAACAUGAAGUUUCACGGGCAGUGUGUGGUUUAUGGAGCUACAGAUGAGGAUCUGAAAACAAAAAGGAACUCAAGGUCAAGUUAUUCAGAAGCAUUUGAAGUUGUUUGGAGAACUGUGAAGAAUUUCACCAGACUAAACACAUUACACGUUUCAAGAUUGAUUCCAAAAGGGCUGCUGAUGGUAGCGUCUGUAUCAAAGGUACUGGUGAACCCUUUGAUAGAAUAAAUCACUGCUUCAGAGCAGCCUUAUAGAUGAGAACCAGCUUUCCCCUCCAGACAGACUGGAUUGAUCUGUGUGUUGAAAAAUGCCCUGCCAUUCCUCUUGCUGUGCUGGAGACAAGUACAUGGAGGGAAUAAAGUCUAGAAGUUAUGUUUGCCAGGACUGAGGCUAACUGUGUGAUAGGUUGAGCACUCCACUUCUCUAUCAUACGUGUUAAUGCCUUAAAAAUUGUUAAAGCACCCUUAGAGUGUUGUAGACUGCUUUCCCAAACCCUUUCUGGUGAUGGUGUCCUGCCUGCUAUAUGAUAGUCAGUGAAAUGUGUCCACAGAAGCGAUGCAGGAGAGCCUCAAGAAAACAGUUUGUUAUCCUCAGAGAUCCUAGAAACAGUGUUUGAGGAGAGCAUAUCAUGCAGCACCACACUGGAAAGCACCAGAGUUGUUUAAGGGGCAGAAGGGACCAGGAGCAAGGGGAAAAUAUCCGCCAGUCUUCAUGUGGUUUCCUGGGAAAGGCAAGGUAGGGCAGGCUAAGCCGCUCAGGAAAGGCUAGUUUGAAUAACUCCAGCAGGCUUUGGGUUGUACCUGUGGUUGCCCUGUCUGACAUGACGAGGGUCCAGGAAUAUUGCCUCCUUGCUCUGGGGUACAUAGAGGGGGUCCUGGGCUGGGCUGGUUCAUCUGCAUAUCAGUGUCCUGCUUCCUGAGUCCUUUGCUAGCUCUAAGAAUUGACUAGUUCCAUCAUGGUUUCUAAGAUGUCAAAAACAUAACAUCUAGAAAACAAAAAGCAUAGAUAAAAUGAUUGAUCUUUACCUAAUUCCUGGCAGAUAGAGAGGAUUUGGAAUCAGAGUUCUGUCCACUACUAAAAUGUAACGAAGUUUCUUGACUUCUUUGCAAAACAGUUUAUCCUCUAUAAAAUUGGGAGAACAAUCUUGAUGUUCGCCGUGAGGACCACUAGGAAUACAUGGGUGAAAAAAUCUCCGUAGGCACCAAAAUUAUGCUAAAGUGGAAAAAAAAAAUCUCAGUACUUUGGUGAUGCCUGGGUUAUAUUUGUGUACUCACAGGUCAAGUAUAGUCUGAAAAUGCUAGUGAUCUGAUAAGUGUUAGAAUGAAUUUGGAGUCAGGGAGAAUGGAAUCUACUCUGAGUUCUAUGUUUUCUGCUCUUGGGUUCUAGUCUUGACAGAACUAAAGUGUGGGAAUUGUGUUGAAUGAUUCCAAAGUUUUUACACUUCUAAAAUUCCAUAAGUCUGUGAAGUCUGCACCAUGCUAUUCUGAACUAUGUUUGCUUUCUAGAGCACCUAUUGGGCCAUGUAUCCCCUUAUACUCCACAGAAGCUUCCAUCCCACAUCUUUGACUUCUGCUUCAUGAAGAGUUUCCCUUGCAGCCUUAUACACCUUUGCUGUGACCUCAGGCGGCCUCUCCCCAGUCCCCAGCCACAGCUGUUUGAGUUUGGGUGGAAAUCUGUCAUGGGAUGGUAGUUAGAAUACAGUAAUGGAUGAUGUUGGACCUGGAAGGUCACCACAUUUGUGUUUGGAGACUGAGGGUACCAUUUCGUGGAAGCCUUGAUGGGUCAUAUGAAAGCAGAGUUAAGCAAGGCAGUCUGGGAGUAGAUUUCCUGAAAGAAGAGGGAGGGGAGGCAAGAAGGGAUCAACAGAUAUGCAAACGCUAGAGAAGCAAGGAAGGAGAUAACGUGGUAAUAGAGAAAUAAAUUUUUUUGGUCAUUCUCUCUUCUGGUUACCUUCAGGCAUGGUUGUUUUUUGUACAGGUCAGUUCUGUGUUUCCUUUUACCUAUGUAAAUUGGAGUGACUUAUACAUUCUUUCCUUUGAGCCUUAGCGUAAAACUCAUGGUAACAUAAACUGGGAAUUGGUAAGGAUUUUGUCUUGUUCCUUCUUGAAGCUUUUGCCUCUGCAUUGUAUCUACCAAGUGGAUGUUUAAGGAAUUUAUACUGAAAUGACAUACAAAUCAUGUAAUUGCAUGUGAAUUGUGUCAUCAAUGGCAUUUAUACAAAAAAGGUUAAUUAUAAUGCAUUAUAUGUUUCAAGGAAUGUUUGCUUGGGACCUCUCAAUUGGUCCACAAGUAAUUUUGAGAGCUGCUUCUCUGUGUCUCUGGGACCCACAUAAGAUUUAGCUCAUCAUAGGCUUUACUUUAAAACAUUCCUGAACUGGACAGCCUAGGGUUGUUUUAUAUACUGUGGAGAUAUAAAAAGCAAUAUAAUUUAUAGUUGCUGUAUAUAACCAGUUUGCAGUAUGGUUGGGAAGCUGCAUGAGAAAGACAAAGAAGAGGAGGAGAAUAAGAAGGAGAAGAAGAAGGAGGAGAAGGAAGAGGAAGAAGAAGGAGGAGGAGAAGGAGGAGAAGAAGAAAGAAGAAGAAGAAGAAGAAGAAGAAGAAGAAGAAGAAGAAG
rnacentral:lncRNA from 1 species